UCAAACCAACUAGAGGAAUAUUUCUUUUGGAAAUUAUAUCCAAAUAUAAUUUCCUUCUGAACUCUCUCAUUCAAUUUUCCUUCAAAUUCAAACUAUCCAAAUCCUAUUCCAAAAUUUAGAAAUCAAUUGUUUUAGUUUGGACUGAAAAUUCCUCUUUUCUCCUUUCGGCCCAUCUCCCUCCUUGGCCCAUGUCGGCCCAGCUGAGCAGAGGCAGCCGCCCCUUUCACCUUUGUGGGCGCGCGCCCGACGCCGCCGCAACUGCCGUAAGCGGCUUUGUCACCGCCGCCCACAAUCCUGCCACCGCUGCUGCCGCCUUGCCGACCACGCCAAGCCGACGCCGUGCCGUGCACCUCUUUCCUCGCCGCCUAACUCCUCUGCGGCCGCCACGGGCACGCGCCGCCGUCGCCGACCAAUGGGAGAACGAAGCCGGCGCCGUCGUUCUCUUUCUCACGUCGCCGUCGCCAUAGCCAUGUCUCCCUUCUCCCCUCCAAACCGACUUUAGAAACCGACCUCCGCGGCCUAUAAAUAGACGAUGAGGUCGCCCCUUUCCUCCAUACACAUCCGAGCCUCGAGCUCUAUCUUUCUCUCUCUUCCCCAAUGCCGGCCGCUGGUCGAUCUCCUUCACUGGAGCCCUGCAGGCCAAGCCCUCGCGCCACUACCUUCGUCUCGAUGAGGCAAAUCUAUUCCCCUACUUGCCCCUUCCUUUUCCCCUCCGAGAUAAGCCACCGCCGCCGCCUCUUUUACCGGCCGAAACUGAGCUCGUAUUGUCGCCGUUCCGGCCGUUUCAACCUUCCUCUCUACCAGCCACCAACCUCCCCGAGUGCGCGUCGACCGGGAACACAAUAUGCCGCCGACGUCACCGCACUUUGGCCACUGGAAGCCCGGCUCCCCGCUCGCCCUUUUCUCUCCCUCUCUCUCUCUCUCGGCUCCUAAUUGAAGAGGAGGAGGUGACGGGAGGAAGAAGUAGAGGAGGAGAGAGAAAGAAAAGAAAAAUAAAAGAAAGGCUGACAGUAGAGUCUAUUAUACUUUGGAGGCAACCUGUGGUAUUUCGAGGAUCUGAUAACCAGGUUGCCUAUCUCGGAUUUAUUUGCGUUGGAGCAAGGCAAGUUAUUAUUCCUCCCCUUUGAGCAUAAUAUUCCUAUAUUAUAUAUCUCCAGUAUCUUGCGCAUUAGCCAUACAUGAUUUUGAAUGCAUAACUUGAACAUAUAGCAAACCAGAUAUAUGCUAGAUUUUGCUUAGCCAUGCCUAGUUAGAUUGCAUAAAAUAUAAUGAACUUAGAUUGGAACAGUACGGUAGAAAUGGUUGAUUUCCGGGUGGCUAGUACUGUUCCAACCGGCAUAAGACUGCCAAGUACAUGUGAAGAACAUACGAGUAUGACCGCAAUUCUCGUAUGGGCAUAGACCUAGCUGAUUAAGUUAUCUAGCAAAGGUGGUACCUCUGUAUAGUGGUUCUUCUUAAGUCCUCGCGUAGGAGGCAAAUUUAUGCCGCAAAGGGCAAUUAUGAUAUUUACCGAGGCGCAGGUAAAUAUACUUAUAUUGAUAGUCCAGGGGACUAUAUUAUGGCCAUGUGAUUUUGUGAACCCUGAUUGCGAUGACAUGGUGUCAUACAAUCAGUUCUCUCUAAAGACCUCGGGAACGCCAGAACUCCUCUCGCUGCUGAUAACGUUACGAUCAGAGCGCAUGGGGACUAGAGUUUAUGGAACAGGUACCACUCAUGUUAGUAACUGAAAAGCUUUGCCAUGACAAGGCUAAUGUGUUUGGCACAUCAUGGAUUGCGGGUAAAGCGUACAUCUACUGCAGUAUGAAUAUUCUUAAAACUAUUCGAAUAGCCGUGCUCGCAGUUAUCGGGCAUUGGGACUCAUAUGGCAUCUUGGAUAGAAACCUAAUUCGAAAUUUUAUUAAAUACUGCUGCAUUUAAAACAUUACAGGUUUUCUACUUUUACAUUCUCUGCUUUCUGCAAGUAAACCUAGCUUUACACAGAUAUUAUCAUUUCAUACAUUCAUUGUUGACUAAUAUAAUAGCUUGCUGAGUACGUUGUACUCACCCUUGCUUCAACCCCCCUUUUUCAAAGUCCAUUUGGAGUUUGUGCCGAAGCUGGGAGUUCAGUCAUAUAAGUUAAUUUCAUUUCAACCUAAUUCUCAAGUCUAGAUUAGAUAGAUGGUUUAAGUCUAUAGCCAAACAUUAGAGUUAAGUAAUUCUAUAGCUUCUGUUGUAUUAGUUAACCACAAAUUUGUAAAUACCUAUAUAUUUUGUAAUAAUAUCUCCUUUGGAGCCUUAUUCAAACGUAUGCAAUGAAGAUCCAGAUUGUUGAACCUGUAUCAAUUUACUAAUCUAGGGCUUGAUACAGUCUAAACAUGUCGGUUUCAGUUUCGGGUUGUUUCUUUGGACGUUCGUGGAUAAUUCAUGUUUAUGACUUCUAGAUGAUCCUAUGCGUAUUUAGUACUGUUGUGUGCUAACAAUAAGUCAAGUUGGAGAAAACUUGCUCGGAUAUGGUUUCUUGGUUGAUGCAUGUGUAGGUGAGUGUUGAUGCCUCGGGAGAGCGUUGCCGGUGAUGAUCGGGAGUCAAAUUGGGAGAAAAUGAUGUCCGUAUGAUCAAGAUAUCAUGCGGGAUACUUAGACUAAAGAUCAAUGCACGUGGUUAGUGAAGAUUCCAUAUAGCAUACGAUUGAGAUAUUGUGUGCAUAUGGAAUGCAGAGUCUGUUGAUGAUAUUCCCUAGAGGCAAUCAUAGAGAUGAUUGUAUCACAUACUAUGUUUACAUAUUUAUCCGACAUUGUUCCUUGAAAUAGAUAAUUCGUUAUUGGUUAAUGAAUAUGUGAUUCUUUCAUGAGACUUUUUUUGUUGUAUGCUGUUAUUUCUAAAGGAUCCCUGAUCAAAUAUCAGAUGUGGAACAAAUAUGUCUAAAUGAUUAGCACAUGUAUUGAUUGAUGAUCAUGUGUUAUGGAUCAUGGUAUGGAGAUAUCAAAUUAAUAAUGUGGACAUUUGUUGGGGAA